rnacentral:ncRNA from 2 species
AGACGUUCUCAGGGCGGGGUGCAAUUCCCCACCGGCGGUAAUCGCUCCCGAAAGGAAGCGGAAGCCCGCGAGCGCCUCCUUCUUAUGAGGGAGGGUCAGCAGAUCCGGUGUGAUUCCGGAGCCGACGGUAUAGUCCGGAUGAGAGAGAACAGCG